rnacentral:rRNA from 1 species
AUUGAACGCUGGCGGCAUGCCUUACACAUGCAAGUCGAACGGCAGCACGGGAGCAAUCCUGGUGGCGAGUGGCGAACGGGUGAGUAAUAUAUCGGAACGUGCCCGGUCGUGGGGAUAACGUAGCGAAAGCUACGCUAAUACCGCAUACGAUCUACGGAUGAAAGCGGGGGGAUCGCAAGACCUCGCGCGAUUGGAGCGGCCGAUAUCAGAUUAGGUAGUUGGUGAGGUAAAGGCUCACCAAGCCGACGAUCUGUAGCUGGUCUGAGAGGACGACCAGCCACACUGGGACUGAGACACGGCCCAGACUCCUACGGGAGGCAGCAGUGGGGAAUUUUGGACAAAUGGGCGCAAGCCUGAUCCAGCAAUGCCGCGUGCAGGGAUGAAGGGCUUUCGGGUUGUAAAGGACUCUUUUUAACCCGUACGAUGAUAAUGACAGUAUCGGGAG